rnacentral:rRNA from 1 species
CCUACGGGAGGCAGCAGUGGGGAAUAUUGGGCAAUGGGCGCAAGCCUGACCCAGCAACGCAGCGUGCAGGAUGACGGCUUUCGGGUUGUAAACUUCUUUUCUGAGGGACGAAGAACGUGACGGUACCUCAGGAAUACGCCACGGCUAACUACGUGCCAGCAGCCGCGGUAAUACGUAGGUGGCAAGCGUUAUCAGGAUUUAUUGGGUGUAAAGGGCGUGUAGGCGGGAAAGCAAGUCAGAUGUGAAAACUCAGGGCUCAACCCUGGGCCUGCAUGGGAAACUGUUUUGCUUGAGUGCUGGAGAGGCAGUCGGAAUUCGGUGUGUAGCGGUGAAAUGCGUAGAUAUACGGAGGAACACCAGUGGCGAAGGCGGAUUGCUGGACAGUAACUGACGCUGAGGCGCGAAAGCGUGGGGAGCAAACAGGAUUAGAUACCCGGGUAGUC